AAGUUUGAUGGCGACCGGCGCACGGGUGAGUAACACGUAUCCAACCUUCCGUUUACUCAGGGAUAGCCUUUCGAAAGAAAGAUUAAUACCUGAUAGUAUGGUGAGAUUGCAUGAUAGCACCAUUAAAGAUUUAUUGGUAAACGAUGGGGAUGCGUUCCAUUAGGUAGUAGGCGGGGUAACGGCCCACCUAGCCGACGAUGGAUAGGGGUUCUGAGAGGAAGGUCCCCCACAUUGGAACUGAGACACGGUCCAAACUCCUACGGGAGGCAGCAGUGAGGAAUAUUGGUCAAUGGGCGAGAGCCUGAACCAGCCAAGUAGCGUGAAGGAUGAAGGUCCUACGGAUUGUAAACUUCUUUUAUACGGGAAUAAAGUAUCCUACGUGUAGGAUUUUGUAUGUACCGUAUGAAUAAGCAUCGGCUAACUCCGUGCCAGCAGCCGCGGUAAUACGGAGGAUGCGAGCGUUAUCCGGAUUUAUUGGGUUUAAAGGGAGCGUAGAUGGAUGUUUAAGUCAGUUGUGAAAGUUUGCGGCUCAACCGUAAAAUUGCAGUUGAUACUGGAUAUCUUGAGUGCAGUUGAGGCAGGCGGAAUUCGUGGUGUAGCGGUGAAAUGCUUAGAUAUCACGAAGAACUCCGAUUGCG
rnacentral:rRNA from 1 species